GAUUGCAUAUAUUCAGAGAAAAUACGGUACAUUUUUUACACAUAGGUUUUCCGAAUUAAUUGAAUAACUGACCCGUGUGGUUUGAAAGUGGCCUAACUCCAUUUAUAGUUACAUCAAGGUAUUUACUAUUGAUAAUGUCGGAAAGCAGCGAUGAAGAAAUUAUUGCACCAAUGAGGAAGAACCGAAGAAGACCACUUAGUUCAGAUAGUGAAAAAGAAAUAGUAAUUAAUAAAAAAAAAGCGAAUAAGAAAAAGAGUUAUAAAACAAUAUUCCUCGUCAGAGGAUGAAGAUUCAAAUAACAAUGGAGAAAAGAUUGAUGCACCAUAUAUCCAAAAAGUGCGAAAGAUAAAACGGAAUUCAGGAAAAAGAUAUUGCAGUUAAACCGGAAGUAUUGUUCAUGAAAAAAAUUUCGAAAACAAAGAUUGUGGUUGUCGGAAUGCGUGCACAAAAAAUUAUAAUGAA